GAGUUUGAUUCUGGCUCAGAUUGAACGCUGGCGGCAUGCCUAACACAUGCAAGUCGAACGGAAACGAUGGAAGCUUGCUUCCAGGCGUCGAGUGGCGGACGGGUGAGUAAUACUUAGGAAUCUGCCCAGUAGUGGGGGACAACUCGAGGAAACUCGAGCUAAUACCGCAUACGCACUACGGUGGAAAGCGGGGGAUCUUCGGACCUCGCGCUAUUGGAUGAGCCUAAGUCGGAUUAGCUUGUAGGUAGGGUAACGGCCUACCUAGGCGACGAUCCGUAGCUGGUCUGAGAGGACGAUCAGCCACACUGGGACUGAGACACGGCCCAGACUCCUACGGGAGGCAGCAGUGGGGAAUAUUGGACAAUGGGCGCAAGCCUGAUUCAGCAAUGCCGCGUGUGUGAAGAAGGCCUGCGGGUUGUAAAGCACUUUCAGUAGGGAAGAAAAGCUUACGGUUAAUACCCGUGAGUCUUGACGUAACCUACAGAAGAAGCACCGGCUAACUCCGUGCCAGCAGCCGCGGUAAUACGGAGGGUGCGAGCGUUAAUCGGAAUUACUGGGCGUAAAGCGCGCGUAGGUGGUUUUGUCAGUCGGAUGUGAAAGCCCUGGGCUUAACCUGGGAAUUGCAUUCGAUACUGCAUAACUAGAGUAUGGUAGAGGG
rnacentral:rRNA from 1 species